rnacentral:lncRNA from 1 species
CCAGCCUUAGCAUAGAACCAAAAUCAUCGGAUCCAGAAGCCGAAUCGACCUCAAAACCCUCAUAUUUUUUGGCAGAAUUCUCAGAAGCUACCCCUAAAGAGGUGGACCAUUCUCCAAUCGAACCAGCGGACUCCACCAUUAAAGAAAUCGAGAAGGAUAAAAUUCAGAGGAGUGAAAAAGGUCUAAAUAUACCUCGACCAGAGAAGCGAAAGAGAACGGCCAAGGAAGACCUGCUGAUACGAUCGCGAUGUUGUCGUUAGGACACUGUGA